CAGGCUUAACACAUGCAAGUCGAGGGGCAGCAUGGUCUUAGCUUGCUAAGGCCGAUGGCGACCGGCGCACGGGUGAGUAACGCGUAUCCAACCUGCCUUACACUCUUGGACAGCCUUCUGAAAGGGAGAUUAAUACAAGAUGUUAUCAUGAGUAAGCAUUUUCGCAUGAUUAAAGGUUUACCGGUGUAAGAUGGGGAUGCGUUCCAUUAGAUAGUAGGCGGGGUAACGGCCCACCUAGUCUUCGAUGGAUAGGGGUUCUGAGAGGAAGGUCCCCCACAUUGGAACUGAGACACGGUCCAAACUCCUACGGGAGGCAGCAGUGAGGAAUAUUGGUCAAUGGACGAGAGUCUGAACCAGCCAAGUAGCGUGAAGGAUGAAGGUUCUAUGGAUUGUAAACUUCUUUCAUACGGGAAUAAACGGAUCCACGUGUGGAUUUUUGCAUGUACCGUAUGAAUAAGGAUCGGCUAACUCCGUGCCAGCAGCCGCGGUAAUACGGAGGAUCCGAGCGUUAUCCGGAUUUAUUGGGUUUAAAGGGAGCGUAGAUGGGUUGUUAAGUCAGUUGUGAAAGUUUGCGGCUCAACCGUAAAAUUGCAAUUGAUACUGGCAGUCUUGAGUACAGUUGAGGUAGGCGGAAUUCGUGGUGUAGCGGUGAAAUGCUUAGAUAUCACGAAGAACUCCGAUUGCGAAGGCAGCUUACUAACCUGUAACUGACAUUGAUGCUCGAAAGUGUGGGUAUCAAACAGGAUUAGAUACCCUGGUAGUCCACACGGUAAACGAUGAAUACUCGCUGUAGGCGAUAUACAGUCUGCGGCCAAGCGAAAGCAUUAAGUAUUCCACCUGGGGAGUACGCCGGCAACGGUGAAACUCAAAGGAAUUGACGGGGGCCCGCACAAGCGGAGGAACAUGUGGUUUAAUUCGAUGAUACGCGAGGAACCUUACCCGGGCUUAAAUUGCAACCGAAUAUGGCGGAAACGCUAUAGCUAGCAAUAGCGGUUGUGAAGGUGCUGCAUGGUUGUCGUCAGCUCGUGCCGUGAGGUGUCGGCUUAAGUGCCAUAACGAGCGCAACCCUUGCCGAUAGUUACUAACAGGUCAUGCUGAGGACUCUGUCGGGACUGCCAUCGUAAGAUGUGAGGAAGGUGGGGAUGACGUCAAAUCAGCACGGCCCUUACGUCCGGGGCUACACACGUGUUACAAUGGGGGGUACAGAGGGCUGCUACCACGCAAGUGGAUGCCAAUCCCAAAAACCUCUCUCAGUUCGGAUUGAAGUCUGCAACCCGACUUCAUGAAGCUGGAUUCGCUAGUAAUCGCGCAUCAGCCACGGCGCGGUGAAUACGUUCCCGGGCCUUGUACACACCGCCCGUCAAGCCAUGGGAGCCGGGGGUACCUGAAGUGCGUAACCGCAAGGAGCGCCCUAGGGUAAAACUGGUGACUGGGGCUAAGUC
rnacentral:rRNA from 1 species